UUGGGUUUGAUGGAAAAUAAAGACAAAAGUUUUGAUGAGUUGAGGUAAGGGAGGGAUUACGUGGUGAAAGGUGGGGGGGGGGAAUGCAUGAUUUUGAUUACAUUUGGCGCUACCGAUCUAACCUCGCAUGCAUGCUUGCAUGAAGAAUGAAAAAGGUAGGGGUUGUAGGGUUUUGCACUUGACACCUUGCAUGUUAUAUCUGGCAACCUCGAACAAGGGGAUUUUGCAGGGUUUUGGGGUUCCUUUUCUUUCUUUAUAUUAAAUGUUUGUAGUUUUAUAUCAUCUUUGACGCUUAUUUCCGUCCAGUUCGAGAGACAAAGCUAGUAGGCAAUUAAGCUUUUAAUUUUUUUUCUUUUCAAAAUCUAAUGUUUCAUCAUUGUAAUUUACACCUUUCUAGGAGACGUGACCAUGCAUUUCGGAUUUGAACUUUUGUAGAAUGGAGUAGUUAACAAUGCUGAACCCUUAAUUAAUUAAUGAAUUCUUU
rnacentral:lncRNA from 1 species